rnacentral:rRNA from 1 species
CGUAGGGACCAAGCGUUGUUCGGAUUUACUGGGCGUAAAGGGCGCGUAGGCGGCUUGACAAGUCACUUGUGAAAUCUCCGGGCUUAACCCGGAACGGCCAAGUGAAACUGUCAUGCUAGAGUGCAGAAGGGGCAAUCGGAAUUCUUGGUGUAGCGGUGAAAUGCGUAGAUAUCAAGAGGAACACCUGAGGUGAAGACGGGUUGCUGGGCUGACACUGACGCUGAGGCGCGAAAGCCAGGGGAGCAAACGGGAUUAGAUACCCCGGUAGUCCUGGCCCUAAACGAUGAAUACUUGGUGUCUGGAGUAAAUAGUGCUCCGGGUGCCGUCGCUAACGUUUUUAGUAUUCCGCCUGGGGAGUACGCUCGCAAGAGUG